AACGUAGGGGGCGAGCGUUGUCCGGAAUUACUGGGCGUAAAGAGCUCGUAGGCGGUAGUUCAAGUCAGGUGUGAAAUCCGACGGCUUAACCGGAGGACUGCACCUGAUACUGGGCUGCUAGAGGUAAGGAGAGGAAGGUGGAAUUCCCGGUGUAGCAGUGAAAUGCGUAGAGAUCAGGAGGAACACCGAUGGCGAAGGCAGCCCCCUGGGCCUGUACUGACGCUCAUGCACGAAAGCGUGGGGAGCAAACAGG
rnacentral:rRNA from 1 species